AUUGAACGCUGGCGGCAUGCCUUACACAUGCAAGUCGAGCGGCAGCGCGGGGGCAACCCUGGCGGCGAGCGGCGGACGGGUGAGUAAUACAUAGGAACGUGUCCUUUCGUGGGGGAUAACCAGUCGAACGACUGGCUAAUACCGCAUGAGAUCUCACGAUGAAAGCGGGGGACCGCAAGGCCCCGCGCGAUUGGAGCGGCCGAUGUCGGAUUAGCUAGUUGGCGGGGUAAAAGCCCACCAAGGCGACGAUCCGUAGCUGGUUUGAGAGAACGACCAGCCACACUGGGACUGAGACACGGCCCAGACUCCUACGGGAGGCAGCAGUGGGGAAUUUUGGACAAUGGGCGCAAGCCUGAUCCAGCCAUGCCGCGUGUGUGAAGAAGGCCUUCGGGUAGUAAAGCACUUUCGGCCGGAACGAAAUCGCGCGGAUUAAUAACCCGCGUGGAUGACGGCACCGUAAGAAUAAGCACCGGCUAACUACGUGCCAGCCGCCGCUGUAA
rnacentral:rRNA from 1 species